GCGCGUAAAUUGCCCGAAUCUUGACACAGGGAGGUAGUGACCAGAAAUAACAAUACAGGACCUUUUAGGUCUUGUAAUUGGAAUGAGUACAAUUUACAUCUCUUCACGAGAAUCAAUUGGAGGGCAAGUCUGGUGCCAGCAGCCGCGGUAAUUCCAGCUCCAAUAGCGUAAAUUAAAGCUGUUGCAGUUAAAACGCUCGUAGUCGGAUUUCGGUGCGGGCCGGCCGGUCUGCCGAUGGGUAUGCACUGGUUGGCGCGUCCUUCCUCCCGGAGACCGCGCCUACUCUUAACUAAGCGGGCGCGGGAGACGGGACGUUUACUUUGAAAAAAUCAGAGUGUUUCAAUCAGGCAGUCGCUCUUGCAUGGAUUAGCAUGGGAUAAUGAAAUAGGAUUCUGGUGCUAUUUUUUUGGUUUCGAACACCGGAGUAAUGAUUAACAGAGACAGUCAGGGGCACUCGUAUUCC
rnacentral:rRNA from 1 species